GAUGAACGCUAGCGGCAGGCCUAACACAUGCAAGUCGAGGGGUAGAAGUUGCUUGCAACUUUGAGACCGGCGCACGGGUGCGUAACGCGUAUGCAAUCUACCUUGUACAGGGGGAUAGCCCAGAGAAAUUUGGAUUAAUACCCCAUAGUGUAAUGAAAUCGCAUGGUUUUAUUACUAAAGUUCCAACGGUACAAGAUGAGCAUGCGUCCUAUUAGCUAGUUGGUGUGGUAACGGCACACCAAGGCAACGAUAGGUAGGGGUCCUGAGAGGGAGAUCCCCCACACUGGUACUGAGACACGGACCAGACUCCUACGGGAGGCAGCAGUGAGGAAUAUUGGUCAAUGGGCGCAAGCCUGAACCAGCCAUGCCGCGUGCAGGAAGACGGUCCUAUGGAUUGUAAACUGCUUUUGUACGGGAAGAAACACUCCUACGUGUAGGAGCUUGACGGUACCGUAAGAAUAAGGAUCGGCUAACUCCGUGCCAGCCGCCGCGGUAA
rnacentral:rRNA from 1 species